GAUUCGUUAUAUCUUACAAUUUUAUUAUGAUAUACGCAUAAAUGCUGCUAUGGCCGUAGAAUACUGAUGCUGUUUAGAGUCAGGAUUCGGUAUCGGAAAGUACGGCCCAAAGGUAGAUUUUUACUGUUAUAAUUUCGUAGAAUUUCGAUAUAGUAACUGCUUCACAUAGUGGUCGACCAAUCACGAAAAGUUGAUGAAAUCAUUGUGAAAUCCGAGCAAAACUGCAAAGGAAAUCUGAGAUAUUUGAAUAGCCAUAACAUUGCCAGGGAACUAAGCAUGCGCCACAAGCUGGCUUUAGACCAUUCGAAGUAAGCUGACCAUCAAAAGAAACAACAUGUUUGGGUGCCGCAUUAAUCGGCGCAAAAGAGUUUACUCAAAGGUAUUUACCUGCGAAAGUCUACAGAAAUGAAAUGAGAUCGAGCCAUUACUAAAGCAAUAUGUCCCGGAUGAUAAAAAGUGAAUCAUACAAAAAGGAGCCGUGUUCCAGAAUCUGUGCCAAAAGCAAGGCAGACGCCAAAGAUGUUUGGUCACGACUGAUUGAUUUACACUGUCAACAUCUAUCUCGAUUACGAUGAGGCAUCGAAUACAUCUACCGGAACUAGUGAACAAAAGGGGCUUCGUCUUCCGCCAUGACCGUGCCAGGCCACACACACACAUAGCUAGCCGGCAAAAAUUGAGAGAACUUUCAUGGGCAGUUUACAUAUCUAUUUUUGCCUGCGACUUCCUGAAAAAUCGAAGACUAUCGACUACCCCGUUCACAGGCCUUUAGAGCGGGCAGGGAUGUGUGAUUAAUGACGACGCAUAGCAUAUUGCGCCUCACGACGGACCGUUGACGCAGAUGAGACUCACACUUCCCAUAAUGGCGCGUAAGGCUUUUCGUUGGUCUGCUAUGGUACAGUUAGACUAUCGGCCGUCUCUUCGUUCCAACGCUGAUUUCUCUCUUCACUGAUCCCCUAUCCGCAAACUCGCUGAUGCAGCCAACAAGCAACCAAGCGUAAAUUUAAUCGGAACAGAAUGAAAUGGUCCAGUGCUGCAUGAACAAGGUCACGUGUAUCAUGAAGCUGCAAAAUGGCUUACAUCAGUAAGCUGUUAUACCGGUUACACCAAUAUAAAACAGGUUAUACCAGCCGGUCGAAGAAUUAUAAACGCCCUUUAAGCCAAAAUUGAGGACAUUUACGGAGUUAUAUGUCAAGUAUGAAUGAAAGCAUCCUAACAGUUAUUGUGCAUCUGCUACUGCCAAACCUCAACUUUCGAACGAUGCCAGCGCUGACCCCACGCAACGGAUAUUACCUGAGAUACUGAACUUUACCGGAGCCACCUAGGUACAAGAACAAUGAAACUUUCUUUGACAACCCAGUAUUUUAAUGCAUAGGUAUAUAGCAUUUUAUAACUGCUUGACGCGACUAUAUUUUAUUUUUAUUUUCAACUAUAAAAUUAUUGUUUAGAUGUAUUUUUUUCUCAUACUUUGAAGACGACCGACAAUCUUUGAAAUACCUAUCACAAUCAAUAGAAAUCCUAAAUAUUGCAACCUUGCCUCUUGGGAACACUGAAAUUCUGCCUACGCAAUCGGAUCAAUGCAGGUAUUAAACCUUGCGCUUCGACCCCAUAAGAUUACGCCGCUGUCGUUUAUGGGAGCAGCAUAACCUUAUGACAGCUCAACCCGUGUUUCAUGUUUCUACUAUAUAAUGCAUACUUUGGAAUUACUGAAGCUAAUCAAAACUUUAAUUUAUUAUACUGGACAAAUCUCUAUCCAGAGCUACAUACAUCAAUUUCUUUAGUGUUUCAAUACUUCCAGGCUACGCAAUUGUGAGAUAGGGGUUCGCCGAUACGUUUAGGGGUAAGCAAUAUAUUCCACUAUAGACGGAUAGUAACCUUUCAGUUGGAUAAAACAUAAGAAAAGAAACCAAAUGAAGGAAAAAUUAAAAUAAAGAAAAAAGCUAGUUCAUAUGUUAAGGAACAUC